AAAACUUUCAACAACGGAUCUCUUGGUUCCCGCAUCGAUGAAGAACGCAGCGAAAUGCGAUAAGUAGUGUGAAUUGCAGAAUUCAGUGAAUCAUCGAAUCUUUGAACGCACAUUGCGCCCUCUGGUUCUGCCGGAGGGCAUGCCUGUCCGAGCGUC
rnacentral:rRNA from 1 species